rnacentral:rRNA from 1 species
GACGAACGCUGGCGGCGUGCUUAACACAUGCAAGUCGAACGGUAAGGCCCUUCGGGGUACACGAGUGGCGAACGGGUGAGUAACACGUGGGUGAUCUGCCCUGCACUUCGGGAUAAGCCUGGGAAACUGGGUCUAAUACCGGAUAGGACCACUGCCUGCAUGGGUGGUGGUGGAAAGCUUUUGCGGUGUGGGAUGGGCCCGCGGCCUAUCAGCUUGUUGGUGGGGUGAUGGCCUACCAAGGCGAAGACGGGUAGCCGGCCUGAGAGGGUGACCGGCCACACUGGGACUGAGAUACGGCCCAGACUCCUACGGGAGGCAGCAGUGGGGAAUAUUGCUCAAUGGGCGCAAGCCUGAUGCAGCGACGCCGCGUGAGGGAUGACGGCCUUCGGGUUGUAAACCUCUUUCAGCACCGACGAAGCGCAAGUGACGGUAGGUGCAGAAGAAGGACCGGCCAACUACGUGCCAGCCGCCGCUGUAA